rnacentral:rRNA from 1 species
UACGAAGGGGGCUAGCGUUGUUCGGAAUUACUGGGCGUAAAGCGCACGUAGGCGGAUCGAUCAGUCAGGGGUGAAAUCCCAGAGCUCAACUCUGGAACUGCCUUUGAUACUGUCGAUCUAGAGUAUGGAAGAGGUGAGUGGAAUUCCGAGUGUAGAGGUGAAAUUCGUAGAUAUUCGGAGGAACACCAGUGGCGAAGGCGGCUCACUGGUCCAUUACUGACGCUGAGGUGCGAAAGCGUGGGGGAGCAAACAGGG